UACGUAGGGGGGCUAGCGUUGUCCGGAAUCAUUGGGCGUAAAGAGCGUGUAGGCGGUCCGGUAAGUCCGCUGUGAAAGUCGGGGGCUCAACCCUCGAAUGCCGGUGGAUACUGUCGGGCUAGAGUGCGGAAGAGGCGAGUGGAAUUCCUGGUGUAGCGGUGAAAUGCGCAGAUAUCAGGAGGAACACCUAUUGCGAAGGCGGCUCACUGGACCGGUACUGACGCUGAGGCGCGAAAGCGUGGGGAGCAAACAGG
rnacentral:rRNA from 1 species